GCAGCCCAGCGCGGGCCGGGGCACCGGGCGCAGGCGGGAGGUCGCAUCUGCAGCUUUGGCGCAAUGAAUCAGGCGCGGCCGCCGCCGCCGCCGCCGCCGCCGAGCGCGUCUGGCAUCCGGAGUCUCCCGGGAUCGAAAAUAAUUUGGGCAAAGCGGUGGGAGGUGUGUGCGCGCGCGCUCCGAGGGGAGGGCGGGGGAGCAGGCCGGGCGGGGUGCGCGGGGCGGGGGGAGGUGCCAUCCGACAGCCCCGCUGUGGUGAGAACAGAGUUGACACUUCUUUCCUUUCCACUUACUGCGGCAAGUACUGCGAGGAAGCUUAACCCUCUCGCUACUUGGAGGGUUAGAGGCGCUGGGAGCGCCCUCAUGAGGGCGCGCCGUAGGGGUGGGUUCCAGGUGUGCAGACUCCUUUGGGGUGGGCUAUUGUAGCGGGCUGGAGUUAGCCUUCUAGCUCCUCAGACGAGCGCUCCUACCCGACAUUCCUCAAGGCAUCCUUCUGGGGCUUUCUUAAUCCUUCCGUUUGCCUUCCCUGCAUCUGGCUAGUGUCAGCGCUAUGGCCUCAGUUUCCUCACCUAUACAAGAGGGUGGGGGUUCUAUAGCAGCUUCCCUGUCGGUCUGGUGACCCUGGUUUCGUGUCGCUCUCUCUGGCUUGAUCCCUGGGCCUGGCAGGGGUGAGCCGGUUAGGGCAGCCGGGGGUGCAGGAGUCAGAACCUGACCCUCCUUGUCUCCCGCCAGCGCUCUGGGCGCCGUUCAUCAAAAUGGCCGGGUUCCUGUUUUUGCCUCUGAAGGCAGAAAUGUCACUGCCGCUGCAUUAAGCACGCUCGGCGGGAACUCGGUUUGGAGCGAGGAGCUGGCGCUCAGCCCUGCCAAGCUUCCUGUCGCUCUAGCCCGACAUGGCCCACUCCCCUAAACCGUGCUGGUUGCUCCCACCCCACUCAAGUUUGGCGGGGGUCGGGGGAGGCGGGGGAGGGAUUAAAGGGGAGGAUCUGUGCCCCUCUGGCUCAGGGAUAGCAGGGAGGUGAUUGGGCAGAACUCAUUUCGUUUUCCCCACCCCCAUAAUUGGCAACACCUCUGGAAUUCAUGGAUCGUCUCCCCAUUAAUGUUGCCCAUUUGAUGAGGAAGGAAUGGUAGCCAGGCCUCAGGGCAUCCUCAGUCUUCUGACCUGAAGUUUCCCCAGAAGGGCUUGGGGGAGAGUGUGCAUUUCACCUUUUCCUAGCUUCUUUCUGGCCAAGGGAUCCCACCACCCCAGGAAUUCUCAAAUCCUGGUGCACAGCAGACCACUUGCCCUUGUGAGCACGCAGAUGUGAGGAGGAGGGGGCAGGCCAGUGUGGAGAGUCUGAUUUAGUGGGUCUGGAGUGGUCCUGUCAUCUGCACACCUCACGAGACCCGAGGGAAGGCUGCCACCCUCACUGAGAGGCAUAUUGGGAGUCCCACAGAAAUCGGAGGUGAUGGAGUCUAGCAAGUCACUGAACAAUGGGAGAUUGAGAGAGGGAUCACUCAGUAAGGUAGGAACUUGGUGGUUGAGAGUGUGGGUUCUGGACUCAGGAGGACCAAGCUUAAAUCCUGGCUCUGCCACUAAUUGACUGCAUGCUGGAGGGCAGAUGACCCAAACUGAGCCUUGGUUUCCUCAAUUGUAAAAUGGGGGUAACACUGAUGGUCCCUAACCCCACCAAAACAAUGUGUGGCUUCUAUGGGACAGUGCAUGGAAAGUGCUGAGUGUAGGUCCAGGUACUUAGUAACUGCAUGAUAUAUGUGAGCCUCUGUCGUCAUUGUCAUCACUAUUAAAACUAUUGGAACUCAGAUUUGUAGUUCAGACUUUAGUUUUGGGGUAGAGGAGAGUCUGGCCCAGAUGUCUCUGGUUCUCCAAGUCUUGUCCUUUAGGGGUCUACCAGGUCCUGGGCAGGGAAGAGUGAGAGUGGGGUAGGGGUCAGUCCCCUGGGUGUGGUCUCAUCUGUGGGACUCCACUCCCUACCCCAAGCCCCAGUGCCUUAGGUCUCUUUCACCCUUGGGUGUCCCCUCACAGCUGCCACUUGGAGCUACAGAUGCCCACUGGGCACUGGCCUGGCUAGUACUUGAGGGCUUGCCUCUCCUAGACCCAUAUCCAGCCUUACUUCUCUAUGAAGCAUCAGGUUCUGUGAUGGUGGUACAAGUGCCCGGGUAAAUUAGGCCCCUGAACCCUGGGUGGUGGGGGACAGGGAGUGUGAUGUUGAGCAUGUGGGGUGCAGGAAUAGGACACCCAAAUUGGAGCAGCCUUUGGAAUGUGGAAUCCCACUUCCCUCUUUGGAAAGAUAGGUUGAGGGGAGCUGAGUGAGGACAUAGUACUAAUGUGUGCCUGGAAUCUAGGGCUGAUGUCUGUUUCAUUCAGGAUAUUUGGGACUGCUGGUUUCAGAAUACAGGAAGGACUAACUGAAAACCAAGACUAUGCACUGGGGAGGAUCCUGGGGCAGAUGCCUUGGCAUGGGAGCAUUCUUUUUUCUUUUUCUUUUUCUUUUUCUUUUUUUUUUUUUUUUGAGACAGAGUCUCACUCUGUCACCCAGGCUGGAGUGCAAUGGUGUGAUCUCGGCUCACUGAAACUUCCACUUCCUGGGUUCAAGAGAUUCUCCUGUCUCAGCCUCCCGAGUAGCUGGGAUUACAGGCGCACGCCACCAUGCCUGGCUAAUAUUUUGUAUUUUAGUAGAGACGGGGUUUCACCGUGUUGUCCAGGCUGGUCUUGAACUCCUGAGCUGGGGCAGUCCACCCACCUCGGCCUCCCAAAGUACUAGGAUUACAGGCGUGAGCCACCGCGCCCGGCCUGGCAUGGGAGCAUUCUAACUUGACUUGGGGAAGGGGUGUCUGUCCACUUGAGGCUGCCAGGUGGCUGAGGCUAAGAUGACCUCAUAGAGCUCCUUCUUGGACUGUAGGCAGCAGAGGGCACCAGCUUUGGACCCUACUCUUCUCACGCGUGCUUGCACAUCUGCCCAUGCUCAGUCACACUGACCCAGAUUCAUACUGGCCCAUAUGUUCUCAUGCCCCCACAUGCAUAUUCAUGUACAUGCUAACGUACAUGUGCACAUAUGCUAUACCACCACAUGUACAACACACGUGUAUGCUUAUGCAUGCACAGGUACACACAGGUACACACUUGGAUAUCCAGAUGCACACAUACUAACUUGCACAUGGAUACCCUGAUGCACCCAUGCAUACAUUAACACCAUGUACACACACACAGUAACAAAUGCACACACAUGGGCAAACCCACAGCCAUUUGCUCUUCCAUCAGCGAAUUCGUGUGUAUGUAAACUGUAUCUCCCGUGAGAAUAGGGCUAUCUUUGUUUAUUGUCAAGUCCCCCAAGAUAAGAGAAGUCUGUUUAAUCUCAAGGCUCACAUGCUUGGUACUUGGGAGGUAUACAAUACAGUAUUGUCUGGAAUAUGUGAGUAAUUGUAUAAGUGUAUAUGGAAGUGAGUAACCUAUGGUGAAUAAUAACCAUAAUAGUAAAUGCCACCCCCAUUUAUUGAGUAGGUACUAUGUGCUACCAGUACCAUCUCAUCUCAGCCCCAUAUCAACCUAUGAGGCAAGUACUUUGUUUUUUUUUUUUUUAUUUUUUGAGAUGAAGUCUUACUCUGUCGCCAGGCUGGAGUGCAGUGGCGCGAUCUCAGCUCGCUGCAACCUCCACCUCCCAGGUUCAAGAGAUUCUCCUGCCUCAGCCUCCCAAGUAGCUGGGAUUACAGGCACGCAUCACCAUGCCCAGCUAAUUUGUAUUUUAGUAGAGAUGGGGUUUCACCAUGUUGGCCAAGACGGUCUCAAUCUCCUGACCUCGUGAUCCACCCGCCUCUGCCUCCCAAAGUGCUGGGAUUACAGGCAUGAGCCACCGUGCCCAGCUGAGGCAAGUACUCUUAUAAUUUCUGCUUAGGCGUUUGGGAACUGAGGCUACAAGAAACAGUCAUUACCUGUAUUGGCUUGCUAGGGCUCCCGUAACAAAAUACCACAGACUGGGUGGCUUACAGUUCUGGAAAGCAGAUGUCCAAAAUCAGGGUCUUGGGAGCACCCUUCUGAGGGCUGUGAAGGAAGGAUCUGUUCAGGCCUCUUUCCUUGGCUUGUAGAUGGCCACCUUCUCCCUGCGUCUCUUCACCUUGUCUAACCUCUGUGUGUAUCUGUCCAAACUACCCCUGCUUAUAAGGACACCAGUCAUAUUGAUUAGGGCCCACCCCAAAGACCUUUUUUUUUUUUUUUUUUUGAGAUGGGGUCUCGCUAUGUUGCUGAGGCUGGAGUGCAAUGGUGCGAUCUCGGCACACUGCAACCUCCAUCUCCUGGGUUCAAGCAAUUCUCCUGCCUCAGCCUCCUGAGUAGCUGGGAUUACACGCUCCUACCACCAUGCCAGGAUAAUUUUUGUAUUUUUAGUAGAGACAGGCUUUCACCAUGUUGGCCAGGCUGGUCUCGAACUCCUGAUCUCAGGUGAUCCACCCGCCUUGGCCUCCCAAAGUGCUGGGAUUACAGGCAUGAGCCACUGGGCCCAGCCUUCUUUUUUUCUUUUUUUGAAACGGAGUUUCACUGUUAUUGCCCAGGCUGGAGUGCAGUAGUGCAAUAUUGACUCACUACAACCUCCACCUCCUGGGUUCAAGCGAUUCUCCUGCCUCAGCCUCUUGAGUAGCUGGGAUUACAGGCAUGUGCCACCAUGCCUGGGUAAUUUUGUAUUUUUAGUAGAGAUGGGGUUUCACCAUGUUGGUCAGGCUGGUCUCAAACUCCUGACCUCAGGUGAUACACCCGUCUCAGCCUCCCAAAGUGCUGGGAUUACAGGUGUGAGCCACUGUGCCUGGCCAAAGACCUCAUUUUAACUUGAAUUUCUCCGUAGAGACUCUAUUCCCAAGUAAGGUCACAUUCUGAGAUACUGAAGGCUUAUUAAGGACUUUAACUUAUGAAUUUUUGGAGGUACCCAAUUCAGCCCAUAACACUACCUAAGUUUGCACAGCUAGGAAGUAGUGUAACCGGGAUUUGAUCCCGAGUCUGGAAUGCCAGUGUCCAUGGUAUCACUCUACUAAGUGGUGCAGAGUUUGGUGUGUGUGUGUGUGUGUGUGUGUGUCCUGGUGGUUGCUAUCUGAUGCUAUUAUUUCCCGCUAGCAGGUGGGCAUCUAGAGCCUGCUUGCAUGAAGGAGUUGGCCCCUAUUCACCCUGGCUUGCUGGUGCGCUGGAAGCUUUCAUGCUUCUUCUGUCAUGGCAUGGGCACCCAGAACCAUCUCCCAGGGCUGUGGUGGUCAAUGCUGCCCAGCCAACACUGAUAGGAGUGCCUAGAGGGGGAAAUGGGGGGCCAGGGAGCUGCUGACUCCCACCUCCCCCCACCACUAGCCCCCAUCUUCUCCAAUGCUGCAGCCUCAUUUCAAAGGCUUAGCCUAUUCAGGUGGGAAGCUGGAGCCAUUUUGGAGGUGGGUAGGGGCAGUCACGAGGCCUUCCUGCAUCAAUCAACUGGAGCAGCUAAGACCAGGCGGGCCUGUGCUGACCUUUGUCCAUAGCCUGAACCUCUCCUUGUGCCACACGGGAGGCAGGGGGGCUGGACCUCACCCUUCUUGCUCCUCUGAGCUUAGCUGGAGGCCUAUAAAAGAGCCCUGGCUAAGGAGGGAGACAAAACACCUAGUUUGAUGGGGAGACACAGCCUCAGUUCUAAGAGGAGCACAGGCUUGGGAGGGAAGGCCUCUGCCUUCAGGAAGUUUUCAGUCUGAAAAGUCCCAGGCUCUCUAAGCCUCACUUUGCUCAUCCAGGAAGUGGGGAUGACAGUGUAGUCAGCUGUGAGGGUUCCAGAAGUUAUGUUGUGGAAGGACCAGGGACCAGGAUCAACAUGGAUAUCUUAAACCAUGCAUAGCCACAGCAUUCAGGGGGAUGGUGAUGAUGAUGAUGAUGAUGAUGAUGAUUAUUAUUAUUAUUAUUAUUAUUAUUAUGGGUAAUAUUUACUGGGCACUUACUAGACCUCAAGUCAAAUGCUAAGUGCAUGCUUUACCCAAUUAACUCAGUUAAUCCUUUUUUUUUCUUUUCCUGAGAUGGAGUCUAACUCUGUUGCCCAGGCUGGCGUGCAGUGGUGUGAGCUCGACUCACGGUGACCUCCCCCAUCAAGUGAUUCUCAAGUGGUUCAAGUGAUUCUCCCCGCUCAACCUCCAGAGUAGCUGGGACUACAGACAUGCGCCACCACACCUGGCUAAUUUUUUUUUUUUUUUUUUUUUUUUAGACAAAGUCUCGGUUUGUUGCCCAGACUGGAGUGCAGUGGUGCAAUCUUGGCUCACUGCAAACCCACCUCCCGGGUUCAAACGAUUCUCCUGCCUCAGCCUCCCAAGUAGCUGGGACUGCAGGCACGUGCCACCAUGCCUGGUUAAUUUUUGUACUUUUAGUAGAGAUGGGGUUUCGCCAUGUUGGCCAGGCUGGUCUCUAACUCCUGACCUCAAGUGAUCCUCCCACCUUGGCCUCCCAAAGUGCUGGGAUUACAGGUGUGAGCCACCGCGCCUGGCGUAAGUUUUGUAUUUUUAGUAGAGAUGGGGUUUCACCAUGUUGGUCAGGCUGGUCUCAAACUCCUGAGCGCAGGUGAUCUGUUCUCCUUGGCCUCCCAAAGUGCUGGGAUUACAGGCAUGAGGCACUGUGCCUGGCCUUAAUUGUUCUAAGAAUUCUGGGAGGCAACUUUCAUUAUCAUUGCCAUUUAAAAAAAAUAUGGAAUGCUUUAUGAAUUUGCAUGUCAUCCUUGCACAGGGUCAUGCUAAUAUUCUCUAUGUCAUUCCAAUUUUAGUGUAUGUGCUAUUGAAGCAAGCAUUAUCAUUGUCAUUUUAUAAAUGAAGAAACAGCCAGGCAUGGUGGCUCACCCCUGUAAUCUCAACACUUUGGGAGGCUGAGGCGGGUGGAUAACUUGAGCUCAGGAGUUCAAGACCAGCCUGAACAACAUGGUUGAUAUGAUUUGGCUGUGUCCCCACCCAAAUCUCAACUUGAAUUGUAUCUCCCAUAAUUCCCAUGUGUUGUGGGAGGGAUCCAGGGGGAGGUAAUUGAAUCAUGGGGGCUGGUCUUUCCCGUGCUAUUUUUGUGAUAGUGAAUAAGUAUCAUGAGAUCUGAUGGAUUUAUCAGGGGUUUCUGUUUUUGCUUCUUCCUCAUCUUUCUCUUGCUGCUACCAUGUAAGAAGUGCCUUUCACCUCUCACCAUGAUUCUGAGGCCUCCCCAGCCAUGUGGAACUAUAAGUUCAAUGAAACCUUUUUUUAUUCCCAGUUUCGGGUAUGUCUUUAUCAACAGUAUGAAAACGGACUGAUACAGUAAAUUGGUACCAGGAGUGGGGUGCUGCUGAAAAGAUACCCAAAAAAGUGGAAGCAACUUUGGAACUGGGUAACAGGCAGAGGUUGGAACAGUUUGGAGGGCUCAGAAGAAGACAGGAAAAUGAGGGAAUGUUUGGAACUUCCUAGAAACUUGUCAAAUGGCUUUGCCCAAAAUGCUGAUAAUGAUAUGGACAAUAAGGUCCAGGUUGAGGUGGUCUCAGAUGGAGAUGAGGAACUCGUUGGGAACUGGAGUAAAGGUGACUCUUGUUAUUUAUUUAUUUUUUUAAUUUAUUUUUUUUUGAGACAGAGUCUUGCUCUGUCACCCAGGCUAGAGUGCAAUGGCACAAUCUGGGCUUACUGCAACCUCCGCCUUCCAGGUUCAAGCGAUUCUCCUGCCUCAGUCUCCCAAGUAGCUGGGAUUAUAGGUGCCUGCCAUCAUGCCCAGCUAAUUUUUGUAUUUUUAGUAGAGAUGGAGUUUUGCCCUGUUGGCCAGGCUGGUCUCGAACUCCUGAUCUCAGGUGAUCUGCCUGCCUUGGCCUCCCAAAGUGCUGGGAUUACAGGCGUGAGCCACCACACCUGACUUUUUUUUUUUUUGAGAUGGAGUCUCGCUCUGUCACCCAGGCUGGAGUGCAGUGGUGCAAUCUUGGCUCACUGCAAGCUCUGCCUCCUGGGUUCAUGCCAUUCUGCGUCAGCCUCCCGAGUAGCUGGGACUAUAGGCGCCCGCCACCACGUUCGGCUAAUUUUUUGUAUUUUCAGUAGAGACAGGGUUUCGUGUUAGCCAGGAUGGUCUUGAUCUCCUGACCUCGUGAUCCACCCACCUCAGCUUCCCAGAGUGCUGGGAUUACAGGUGUGAGCUACUGCUCACAGACUUUUUUUUUUUUUUUUUUUUUUUUUUUUUUUUUGAGACAGAGUCUCGCUCUGUCACCAGGCUAGAGUGCAGUGGCACAAUCUUGGCUCACUGCAACCUCUCUCUGCCUCCUGGGUUCAAGCGAUUCCCCUGCCUCAGCCUUCCGAGUAGCUAGGAUUAUAGGCACAUGCCAUCACGCCCAGCUAAUUUUUGUAUUUUUAGUAGAGACAGGGUUUUACCAUGUUGGCCAGGAUGGGCUCAAUCUCCUCACCUUGUGAUCUGCCCGCCUUGGCCUCCCAAAGUGCUGGGAUUGCAGGCUUGAGUCACUGCACCUGGCCUCUUGUUAUGUUUUAGCAAAGAGACUGGUGACAUUUUGCCUCUGCCCUAGAGAUUUAUGGAACUUUGAACUUGAGAAAGAUGAUUUAGGGUAUUUGGUGGAAGACAUUUCUAAGCAGCAAAGCAUUCAAGAGGUGAUUUGGGUGCUGUUAAAGGCAUUCAGUUUUAUAAGGGAAGCAGAGCAUAAAAGUUUGGAAAAUUUGCAGCCUGACUAUGCGAUAGAAAAGAAAAACCCAUUUUCUGGGGAGAAAUUCAGGCUGGCUGCAGAAAUUUGCAUAAGUAGUAAGGAGCCUAAUGUUAAUCCCCAAGACCAUCGGGAAAACGUCUCCAGGCCAUGUCAGAGACCUUCAUGGCAGCCUCUCCCAUCACAGGCCUGGAGGCCCAGGAGGAAAAAGUGGUUUCAUGGGCCAGAGGCAGGGUCUCCAUACUGUGUGCAGCCUAGGGAUUUGAUGCCCUGUGUUCCAGCUGCUCCAGCCAUGGCUGAAAGGGGCCAAUAUACAGCAUGGACUUUGGCUUCAGAGGGUGGAAGCCCCAAGCCUUGGCAGGUUCCAUGUGAUGUUGAGCUUGCAGGUGCACAGAAGUCAAGAACUGAGGUUUUGGAACCUCCACCUAGAUUUCAGAAGAUGUAUGGAAACUCCUGGAUGCCCAGGCAAAAGUUUGCUGCAGGGGCAGGGCUGUCAUGGAGGACCUCUGCUAGGGCAGUGUGGAAGGGAAAUGUGGGGUUGGAGCCCCCACACAGCUGGGGGACUGCCUAGUGGAGUUGUGAGAAGAUGGCCACUGUCCUCCAGACCCCAGAAUGGUAGAUCCACCAACAGCUUGCACCAUGCACCUGGAAAAGCUGCAGACACUCAACGCCAGCCCGUGAAAGCAGCCAGGAGGGAGGCUGUACCCUGCAAAAUGACAGGGGUAGAGCUGCCCAAGACCAUGGGAACCUACCUCUUGCAUCAGCGUGACCUGGAUGUGAGACCUGGAGUCAAAGGAGAUCAUUUUGGAGCUUUAAAAUUUGACUGCCCCGCUGGAUUUUGAACUUGCAUGGGGCCUGUAGCCCCUUUGUUUUGGCCAAUUUCUCCCAUUUAGAAUGGCUGUAUUUACCCAAUACCUGUAUCCCCAUUGUAUCUAGGAAGUAACUACCUUGCUUUUGUUUUGUUUUGUUUUGUUUUGUUUUUUGAGACAGAGUCUCACUUUGUUGCCCAGACUGGAGUGCAGUGGCAUGAUCUUGGCUCACUGCAACGUCUGCCUCCCAGGUUCAAGCAAUUCUCCUGCCUCAGCCUCCUGAGUAACUGGGACUGCAGGCGUGUGCCACCACACUCCACUGAUUUUUUAUUUUUAGUAGAGAUGGGAUUUCACCAUAUUGGCCAGACUGGUCUCGAACUCCUGACCUCAGGUGAUCCACCCGCCUUGGCCUCCCAAGAUGCUGGGAUUACAAGCGUGAGCCACCGCACCUGGCUUUUUUUUUUUUUUUUUUUUUUAAGACAGAGUCUCACUCUGUCGCUCAGGCUGGAGUGUAGUGGUGUGAUUUCAGCUCACUGCAGCCUCCACCUCCCGGGUUCAAGUGAUUCUCCUGUCUCAGCCUCCUGAGUAGCUGGGACUACAGGCGCAUGCCACCACGCCCAGUUAAUUUUGUAUUUUUAGUAGAGGCAGGGUUUCACCGUGUUGGCCAGGCUGGUCUCAAAUUCCUGACUUCAAAUGACCCACCUACCCCGGCCUCCCAAAGUGCUGUGAUUACAGGUGUGAGCCACUGCACCCAGCCACUUGUUUUUGAUUUUACAGGCUCAUAGGUGGAAGGGACUUGCCUUGUCUCAGAUAAGACUUUGGACUGUGGACUUUUGGGUUAAUGGUGAAAUGAGUUAAGACUUUAGGGGAGUGUUGGGAAGGCAUGAUUGGUUUUGAAAUGUGAGGACAUGAGAUUUGGGGGAGCCAGGGUCGGAAUCAUAUGGUUUGGCUGUGUCCCCACCCAAAUCUCAACUUGAAUUGUAUCUCCCAUAAUUCCCACUUGUUGUGGGAGGGACCCAGGGGGAGGUAAUUAAAUCAUGGGGUCCGGUCUUUCUGUGCUAUUCUUGUGAUAGUGAAUAAGUCUCAUAAGAUCUGAUGGGUUUAUCAGGGGUCUCCACUUUUGCUUAUUCCUCAUUUUUCU
rnacentral:lncRNA from 1 species